GAAGAAAUCUCAGCACCCAUUUCCUCCACAGGCAGAUUAUGAAGAAUUCAUGCUUGAAGAGCACUUUGAGAGAACUGAGUUUUAAGACUGAAUUAUUGAAGCUUUGACAAACCUUUUGUGUGUGUGUGUGUGAGAAUUACUCAAUACAUUGACUAAUCGGAUAACGUACAUGGCACUGCUCCAAACUUAAAGCUUCCAUGUCUGCAUAGGCCGAUAGAAAGCAUCAUGUCCAAGCUGGCUUCCAAAAUUUCUCCCUAAUUUCUGCUCUUUGGUGGGGUCUCAGCAGUUACUGCAGAAGGUGAAUCCUGUGAAGACAGCAUCAGUGAAAGGUCAGCUGGUGGUCAGCAUCGUGCUUCGCUGGGUCGGCAGCACAGCUGAAUGUUGCCAGGAAAUGAACAUUUGUACGGCCCGAGGAGCAUUUUUAAGGCCAGCUGGUUUUGCUUCCAGCUCUGCAUACUGAGUCACAUGGGGUCAGGCUGAGGCGGACACCUGCAAGUAGAGUGACGGAUUGGAGCUGAGUUAACCAAGCUGCCCUUUGCUGAUUACAGACAUGUUUGCAUGCUGGGAAUGGAGGUGCUGGAGCAGAUGAUGUGAUAGCUGUUAAUGCAACGCAGAGCGUGUACAUGUGGCUGGAGUGAAAAGCAUCAAAGCUGAUGAACACUUUGAAAUGCUGCAGAAAACUAGGGUGGAAAAAAAGUUAAACUUAUGUGAGGAGUAAAAGGCAGUCCUGGGGUAUGUUUGUGACAUGCUGCUGGAGAUUUAUGCAACUCUUAUGAAAGAAAGAAAUGCAGCUGGACUUGUGCCAAAGAAGGAAUUAAAAGCAAGCAGAGAACACGUGCUGUUCCUGGAGACAAACAAAAUAGCAUGUGGUCCUGAUCCAAGGAGGCUUCUGAGCGCGAGGGAAAGGCA